rnacentral:lncRNA from 1 species
GUGUUAUAAGCAAAACAGUCAAAGGGACUGUAAAAUAGUAACUUUUAUUUCUUUAAAAAUACAUUAAAAUUUUUAUUACUACCUGUCAUGCUCAGAUACAUAUCAUAGGAUAAAAUUUCCCUAAAAUAUAAAAUGGAAUGUUAUGUCUUUAAAAGAUGGUGAUGGCUAAAGACAUCUGCUUCUGUGGCCCACUCCAGGUCAUCUGCAGGAUCUACAGGCCUUCAGGAAGGGUAGAAAGGGUUUGCAGCAACAUGGCCAGUGAGCCACAGCCUCAUGGUGACCAGAGAGCUCGCCUCCCAGCACUGUUCUCAAUGGCUUCUUCCAAAAGACUGUCAGAUGCAACAAAAACACAGUGAAAAGGGAGAAGGGAGUCGGAAAGAGACAGG